rnacentral:rRNA from 1 species
CGUGUAGGCGGGAAAGAAAGUCAGAAGUGAAAUCCCAUGGCUUAACUGUGGAGCUGCUUCUGAAACUUCUUUUCCUGAGUGCUGGAGAGGAAAGUGGAAUUCCAAGUGUAGCGGUGAAAUGCGUAGAGAUUUGGAGGAACACCAGUGGCGAAGGCGGCUUUCUGGACAGUAACUGACGCUGAGGCGCGAAAGCGUGGGGAGCAAACAGGAUUAGAUACCCUGGUAGUCCACGCUGUAAACGAUGGAUACUAGGUGUAGGAGGUAUCGACCCCUUCUGUGCCGGAGUUAACACAAUAAGUAUCCCACCUGGGGAGUACGGCCGCAAGGUUGAA